UUGUACUUUACAAGUAUAAUUUUGGUUGUGCAAUUCAAUCUGGCUUGAAUAGAUAUAUUGGGCGUUUAUUUUUAGUUUUUUUAUUUUUUACUAAAAAUAAUUUAAUUCUUAGUAUUUUUUAUAGAAAUGUAUAUUUGUGCCUAUAGAGUAUAAGUACUGUUAAGGAAUAAUUUAUUUAAUUUAGGAGAAUUUAUUUUUAAAGUACCUUUUGUAUCAGGGUUUAUUAAUUUAAUAAUAUUUACAAUAUUUAUCCCGAAAUUAAGAGAUAUAUUAUAAUGAUUUUUUAUGUUUCAUAAUAAUUUUUAAUUUUAAUAUAGGGGUUAUAUGCUAUUCAAUUUUAAAUAUCUGGUUUUCUAAUAUAUUAAUUUAAUUAAGAUUAACAUUUAUAGGUUGAUAUACAAAUUUAUUUUAUUCAAUUUUGUUAAUUAAGUUUAUAGGGGAUAAGCUCUAUUGAAUAUUUUAUAAUAAUAAUUUUUAAUUUAAGGGUUAUUAGGCUUGAUAACAGCCAUUAUUUAUUUCGUUUUAGUUAAUUCUUAUUUAUUUUUUAUUUAUUUUUUAUUUAAGAUUUUAUUAGAAUUUUGUGUUUAUUUAUUUAUUACAAGUAAUAAUGAUAUAAUUAGUAGUUUAGUAAUUCUGAAUUUAGGAAUUCGGCAAUUUUAAUUUCCGCCUGUUUAACAAAAACAUGUCCUAUAGUUUUAUUUAUUUUAGGUCGGGCCUGCCCAGUGAUUAUUUUUAAACGGCCGCAGUAUUUUAACUGUGCGAAGGUAGCAUAAUCAUUUGUCUUUUAAUUGAAGGCUAGUAUGAAAGGUUUGACGAGAAAUUAACUUUCUUAAUUCAGAUUUUAUGAAUUUGAUUUUUUAGUUAAAAAGCUUAAAUUAUUUUGCUAGACGAGAAGACC
rnacentral:rRNA from 1 species